rnacentral:rRNA from 1 species
GUGAACGCUGGCGGUAGGCCUAACCCAUGCAAGUCGAACGGCAGCACAGUAAGAGCUUGCUCUUACGGGUGGCGAGUGGCGGACGGGUGAGGAAUACAUCGGAAUCUACUUUUUCGUGGGGGAUAACGUAGGGAAACUUACGCUAAUACCGCAUACGACCUACGGGUGAAAGCAGGGGAUCUUCGGACCUUGCGCGAUUGAAUGAGCCGAUGUCGGAUUAGCUAGUUGGCGGGGUAAAGGCCCACCAAGGCGACGAUCCGUAGCUGGUCUGAGAGGAUGAUCAGCCACACUGGAACUGAGACACGGUCCAGACUCCUACGGGAGGCAGCAGUGGGGAAUAUUGGACAAUGGGCGCAAGCCUGAUCCAGCCAUACCGUGUGGGUGAAGAAGGCCUUCGGGUUGUAAAGCCCUUUUGUUGGGAAAGAAAAGCAGCAGGUUAAUACCCCGCUGUUCUGACGGUACCCAAAGAAUAAGCACCGGCUAACUUCGUG